rnacentral:misc_RNA from 1 species
GAUGAAGAACGUAGCGAAAUGCGAUAAGUAGUGUGAAUUGCAGAAUUCAGUGAAUCAUCGAAUCUUUGAACGCACAUUGCGCCCCUCGGUAUUCCGUGGGGCAUGCCUGUUCGAGCGUCAUUUAACCCCUCAAGCUCAGCUUGGUGUUGGGGCCUGCUGCACUGGCAGCCCUUAAAAUCAGUGGCGGCGCCAUCUGGCUCUAAGCGUAGUAAUUCUUCUCGCUAUGGAGUCCUGGUGGAUGCUUGCCAUCAACCCCCAAUUUUUCUAUGGUUGACCUCGGAUCAGGUAGGGAUACCCGCUGAACUUAAGCAUAUCAAUAAGCGGAGGA